rnacentral:rRNA from 1 species
GACGAACGCUGGCGGCGUGCUUAACACAUGCAAGUCGAACGGAAAGGCCAGGCUUUUGUGGGGUGCUCGAGUGGCGAACGGGGGAGUAACACGUGAGUAACCUGCCCUUGACUUUGGGAUAACUUCAGGAAACUGGGGCUAAUACCGGAUAGGAGCUCCUGCUGCAUGGGGGGGGUUGGAAAGUUUCGGCGGUGGGGGAUGGACUCGCGGCUUAUCAGCUUGUUGGUGGGGUAGUGGCUUACCAAGGCUUUGACGGGUAGCCGGCCUGAGAGGGUGACCGGCCACCUUGGGACUGAGGUACGCCCCAGACUCCUACGGGAGGCAGCGGUGGGGAAUAUUGCACAAUGGGCCCAAGCCUGAUGCAGCAACGCCGCGUUCGUGAUGACGGCCUUCGAGUUGUAAACCGCCUUCGCCUUUGCCGAAGCGUGAGUGACGGUAAUGGGUAAAGAAGCACCGGCUAACUACGUG